GUGGGGAAUAUUGGACAAUGGGCGAAAGCCUGAUCCAGCCAUGCCGCGUGUGUGAAGAAGGUCUUCGGAUUGUAAAGCACUUUAAGUUGGGAGGAAGGGCAGUAAGUUAAUACCUUGCUGUUUUGACGUUACCAACAGAAUAAGCACCGGCUAACUUCGUGCCAGCAGCCGCGGUAAUACGAAGGGUGCAAGCGUUAAUCGGAAUUACUGGGCGUAAAGCGCGCGUAGGUGGUUCAGCAAGUUGAAGGUGAAAUCCCCGGGCUCAACCUGGGAACUGCCUCAAAAACUACUGAGCUAGAGUACGGUAGAGGGUAGUGGAAUUUCCUGUGUAGCGGUGAAAUGCGUAGAUAUAGGAAGGAACACCAGUGGCGAAGGCGACUACCUGGACUGAUACUGACACUGAGGUGCGAAAGCGUGGGGAGCAAACAGGAUUAGAAACCCUGGUAGUCC
rnacentral:rRNA from 1 species